rnacentral:rRNA from 1 species
UACGUAGGGUGCAAGCGUUGUCCGGAAUUAUUGGGCGUAAAGAGCUCGUAGGCGGUCUGUCGCGUCUGCUGUGGAAACUCAGGGCUUAACCCUGAGCUUGCAGUGGGUACGGGCAGACUAGAGUGCGGUAGGGGAGACUGGAAUUCCUGGUGUAGCGGUGAAAUGCGCAGAUAUCAGGAGGAACACCGGUGGCGAAGGCGGGUCUCUGGGCCGUUACUGACGCUGAGGAGCGAAAGCGUGGGGAGCGAACAGG